UACGGAGGAUCCAAGCGUUAUCCGGAUUUAUUGGGUUUAAAGGGUGCGUAGGCGGCCUAUUAAGUCAGGGGGGAAAGACGGUAGCUUAACUAUCGCAGUGCCUUUGAUACUGAUGGGCUUGAAUGUACUUGAGGUAGGCGGAAUGUGACAAGUAGCGGUGAAAUGCAUAGAUAUGUCACAGAACACCAAUUGCGAAGGCAGCUUACUAAAGUAUGAUUGACGCUGAGGCACGAAAGCGUGGGGAUCAAACAGG
rnacentral:rRNA from 1 species